GUGCUCACUUUGGCAGCACAUAUACUAAAAUUGGAAUCAUACAGAGAAGAUUAGCAUGGCUCCUGCGUGAGGAUGACAUGCAAAUUCGUGAAGCGUUCCAUAUUUAA
ensembl:snRNA U6 U6 spliceosomal RNA